ACUAUUAAAUAAUAACUUAUUUAAAAAGAAAAUAACUAAUACUCCUAUCUGUGGAAUUUGCAGGGAAGGAAUAGAGACUAUAAAACAUGCAAUUCUUCUAUGCUCGUGGAUCAGAGUAACGUGGUUUGGAGCACAGAGUCAAUGUUUAUCAACACCAGAAACAAUCAAGUCAUUUGCAGAAUGGCUGCUUGAAAUAUGCAGAAAAAUUAGAGGACAAGGGAAGGAAGAAGCAGAGGAUCUAAUUGGAAGAAUUGGAGUGCUAAGUUGGGAGAUUUGGAAAACGAGAAACCAGACUAUAUUUCAAAACACUAUCCCCAACCCCAAUGCUACCAUCAUCAGAGCUAAAAUCCUAGAAUCAGAAAUCAGGGAAGCAAUGCGAAAAAAGGAGCAGCUCGGACAAAACCAGAACAGGAGUAUAAGCAGAAGGAGCAUUACCUGGAGACCUCCACCGAGGGAUUGGCUAAAGGCUAACGUAGAUGCUGCGUAUAGAAGAUCGACAGCGGAGGGAGCAACUGCAAUUGUGAUUCGAGACAACUCUGGAUGACUAUUAACAGGAGAAUCCAUGAGAAUCAGAGCUCAUUCCAGCUUAGCUGCAGAAGCAGAAGCAAUGAGAAUGGCACUAAUUUUAGCUACAAAUAUUAAUUUGGAGCAAAUCUUAAUUAGAGUCGGAUAAUUUACCUCUUGUGCAAGCAGUAAAAUAAAAAACUUAUAUAGGAGAGGUGGAACCAAUUCUUCGAGAUAUUCUUCUCCUGGCUGAGAGUCUUCCCAAUUGUGACUUCAUAUGGGUCCCUAGAGAGGGAAAUAAAGUCACAGAUGGAGUGGCGAAAUGUUUCCUGAUAGGCCAAUUGGAGAAAAACUGGAGAUGGAAGUCCCCAUGAGAGAUAGCAGAACAACAAAGGAGGGAGGCUUCAAACCAAAAUGGAUGCUCCAAUCGAAGCCAUUCACUGGGCAAGACUCAAAACACAUUGCAUUCCAGAAUUCAGAGGCAAGGGAAUAUGAAUUUCGGGGAAUCACUGUGGCAGAGAGACCUGAUGCCAAAUUCGGGAACUUUAAACCCUCUCCCAGUCGUCAACGGUGCUGAUGCGACUUCGCCGGAAAGGAGAAAUGUCUCCGUGAAUAACACCAACAGACCCGGGCAAGGCAGUCAAGCAGGGAAGGAGAAAUUCGGCGUAGCCAACCGAAGCUUUGCUGGCGACGAAGAUUAAUGGCGAAGAUGCGGCGAAAGGCGGCUUCACCCGCGGACAAGGGCAUCAGACGGCGGCGGUGAAAAUCGGUUGUAUCAGCAAGGGAGAUGGAAUAGGCCAUAGCAGAACCGAAGGUCUGAGGCAGCGGGGCAGGGAGAAACGGUGUCAGUGCAACCUCUGGGAUCGACGGCGAACAGGCGGUGGUGACGGCUGCGCAGCUGACGAAAGCCAUGAGACGGAGAGUGAGAGAGAUGAAGAGAAGGCGCGAGUGUUAUAGCAAUAGUUUAGGGUUGUGAUUGUUCCCCGACCUGACCCGGGUUCCUU
rnacentral:lncRNA from 1 species